GUGUCAUGAGUUCUCCCGGUGUCGUCAGAGAUCGAGCGAACUCUGAGAGGGGGGUGGACAAUGCCCAAUUGUUUCGCCAUUCAUUAAGCAAGAUUUUUAGUGCCCUAGAUGAAAGCAAGAAUCUGAGAGGAUCGAUAAGGGAUGACAUUCGAAAGAGUCUAGCUACAAUGUCAACUGUUUUUGAAGGGCUACUUAGGAAUUUAUCAAAGUAGAUGAGAGAGCGGAAGACUUGCAACGUGAGUUGGAGCACAGGCAGACAGAGGAAAGACCAUCUAAACCUUUGUAUUCAGAUAUCAUAAAGCAACCAAUCCCGCGACGAGAUGAUGCAGCAGUACUAGUGUACCCCUCCAAGGGCAUGGAGGCAAUCGAACCAAAGAAGCUGUUGGAAAAGGUAAAGCAGGAGGUCG
rnacentral:lncRNA from 1 species